rnacentral:rRNA from 1 species
GUACUUACUCCUACGGGAGGCAGCAGUGGGGAAUAUUGCACAAUGGGCGCAAGCCUGAUGCAGCGACGCCGCGUGGGGGAUGAAGGCCUUCGGGUUGUAAACUCCUUUCGCUAGGGACGAAGCUUUUUUGUGACGGUACCUAGAUAAGAAGCACCGGCUAACUACGUGCCAGCAGCCGCGGUAAUACGUAGGGUGCGAGCGUUGUCCGGAAUUACUGGGCGUAAAGGGCUCGUGGGUGGUUUGUCGCGUCGUCUGUGAAAUUCUGGGGCUUAACUCCGGGCGUGCAGGCGAUACGGGCAUAACUUGAGUGCUGUAGGGGUAACUGGAAUUCUUGGUGUAGCGGUGAAAUGCGCAGAUAUCAGGAGGAACACCGAUGGCGAAGGCAGGUUACUGGGCAGUUACUGACGCUGAGGAGCGAAAGCAUGGGUAGCGAACAGGAUUAGAUACCCGAGUAGUCCAGGCAU